UACAGAGGGUGCGAGCGUUAAUCGGAAUUACUGGGCGUAAAGCGUGCGUAGACGGUUAUUUAAGUCGGGUGUGAAAGCCCCGGGCUCAACCUGGGAAUUGCAUUCGAGACUGAAUAGCUAGGGUACGGUAGAGGGAAGCGGAAUUUCCGGUGUAGCGGUGAAAUGCGUAGAUAUCGGAAGGAACACCAGUGGCGAAGGCGGCUACCUGGCCCAUUCUUGACGCUGAGGCGCGAAAGCUAGGGGAGCGAACGGG
rnacentral:rRNA from 1 species